rnacentral:rRNA from 1 species
UGGGGAAUAUUGCACAAUGGGCGCAAGCCUGAUGCAGCCAUGCCGCGUGUGUGAAGAAGGCCUUCGGGUUGUAAAGCACUUUCAGCGAGGAGGAAGGUGGUGAACUUAAUACGUUCAUCAAUUGACGUUACUCGCAGAAGAAGCACCGGCUAACUCCGUGCCAGCAGCCGCGGUAAUACGGAGGGUGCAAGCGUUAAUCGGAAUUACUGGGCGUAAAGCGCACGCAGGCGGCUUGUUAAGUCAGAUGUGAAAUCCCCGGGCUCAACCUGGGAACUGCAUUUGAAACUGGCAAGCUAGAGUCUCGUAGAGGGGGGUAGAAUUCCAGGUGUAGCGGUGAAAUGCGUAGAGAUCUGGAGGAAUACCGGUGGCGAAGGCGGCCCCCUGGACGAAGACUGACGCUCAGGUGCGAAAGCGUGGGGAGCAAAACAGGAUUAGAUACCCUGGUAGUCCACGCUGUAAAACGAUGUCGAUUUUGGAGGUUGUGCCCUUGAGGCGUGGCUUCCGGAGCUAACGCGUUAAAUCGACCGCCUGGGGAGUACGGCC